rnacentral:lncRNA from 1 species
AUAGUAGUCACUAAAUUCCAGAAGACUUGGCCCAAAUUUCCUUCAUCUAAUUCAAAGGCUCGAUUCAGCAAGGGGCAGAUGAUGCGACUGUCCCAAUUGAAUGAGACAGUGACCACACAAUGUGCUGCUCUUGACACAGCAUGCUGAACAGAGGAGGAAAGAUCUUGGGGAAGGUCAGGUUUUUAUUUAUGUGCUUGUGCUGCCUAUGGAUUUCUAAAUAGAUGUUACAAGUGAUUAUGUCAAAACGUGGUACCUGUUAAGAGAUUUAAAUUUUCUAUUUUGCUAAUUCAGCAAAUAUUCACUGAGCACCUACAAAUGCUAGAGCCUACUCUGGAAGCUUGGGAUACAGCAGUGAAUAUGGUAGGUGGGGUAUGGCAGUGAAUAUGACAGGUGGGAUACGGCAGUGAUUAUGGCAGGUGGGAUACGGCAGUGAUUAUGACAGGUGGGAUACAGCAGUAAAUAUGACAGGUGGGAUACAGCAGUGAUUAUGGCAGGUGGGAUACGGCAGUGAUUAUGACAGGUGGGAUACGGCAGUGAUUAUGGCAGGUGGGAUUUGGCAGUGAAUAUGACAGGUGAGAUACAGCAUGAAUAUGACAGGUGUGGUUCCAGUCCACAAGAGCUUGUAUUGCAGUUAGAGGGAAACAGAAAAUAAAACAAAUCUAGGAAAUCUCACAUAGUGAAAAAUGUUAAAAAUAAAAAAGAAGUGUGCUAGAGAGUGACUAAGGAAUUAUUUCUGUCAUUAUUUACUUACUAUUUGUGAUGAAUAAGCAUUAAUUGGAAGCUUAAUAUUGACCUCUGCUUUCUUUUUCUUCUUAAAAGAGGAAACAGUCUGAUCACUUUUACUAUAAAAAUAAAAAAAAAAAGAAUCCACGGCCUUUCUUGAGCUCUUAUCAUCAAAUUAAAUUUGUAUAUUUUGAGUCCUUUUGAAAGGGAAAAUGGAAAAUGCUGUUAGAGAAGUCCAGUGGGGCAUUAAAGUCAAACGAUGAGUCAGAUUUGGAAAGUAAGCAUUUUGAAAGCUGGGACCAGGUUUUCCUCAAGUCUGCAUCUUGCAUAGCAACUAGCAUAAUUCCUGGCAUUAUUAAUAAUGUAACAGAAAAAAGGGCCAAUAUAUUAACAAGCAGCAAUUCAAAGAAAAAGGAAUCCAAAUGGCUAAUAAACAUAGUAAGAUGCUGGCUGGGCACGAUGACUCACACCUGUAAUCCCAACACUUUGGGAGGCCAAGGCGGGCCGACUGCUUGAGCCCAGGAGUUCAAGACCAGCCUGGGCAACAUGGCAAAACCCAGUCUCUACAAAAAAUGCAAAAAUUACCUGGGUGCGGUGGUGUGCACCUGUAGUCCCAGCUACUCAGGAGGCUGAGGUGGGAGAAUCCUCUGCCUUCCAUAUGAACCCGGGAGGCAGAGGUUGCAAUGAGCCAUGAUCAUGCCACUGCACUCCAGCCGGGAUGACAGAGUAAGACCCUGUCUCAAAAACAGAAACAAAAAACGAAAGAAAACAAAAGUAAUCAACAACAAAACGAUAGUAAAAUGCUAAAACCAACUGUGUAGCAUCCUAUAGGAGACAUAUCAUGACUACAAGAUUAAUGAUAGCUAUAAGGCAUUAACAAGCUCUCACAGGACUGACACUAUGUGCCACUUAGCAGCGUGAGGCCACCUGGCCUGGGGAUUUCCAAGCUGGCCCAGGGAUUUCCAGGACAUAAGGCCACCUCAUCACGGAUGCAAAUCUCGUAAACCUUUAACAAAGCUUACCCUUAUAAGACUAGCUUAACCUCCUCUUAUGAAAGAAACGCCUGAUAAUUGACUGAACUAAAUGCAGGUAGAAGAAAUGGGAAGAAUCUCCCAAACUCUGAGAAUAGUCUCCAGAUGGAGACCCUCCUGGACAGGCAGUCAUCUGACCUCUGAUUGAAUCUGGCCCAUGCCACCCACCUGCUCCCACUAUCCGACUUGUAAGACCACUGCUAAAAUAAAUAGCUUGAACAUCAGAUGGUAUUGAAGUCACAUCUUUGAUGUGAAUCGGACUGAAGGGAAGUUGCUUCUAGGGAAACUGGUUUGCUAGGACCAUCGAAAACCUCCAA